rnacentral:rRNA from 1 species
UUGGAGGGCAAGUCUGGUGCCAGCAGCCGCGGUAAUUCCAGCUCCAAUAGCGUAUAUUAAGGUUGUUGCAGUUAAAAAGCUCGUAGUUGAAUUUCGGGAUCAGCAGGUUGGUCGUGCCACUGGUAUGCACUGGCUUCGCUGGUUCCUCCUUUCUGAAGAACUGUAAUGCCAUUAAUUUGGUGUUGCAGGGAAACAGGACUGUUACUUUGAAAAAAUUAGAGUGUUUAAAGCAGGCUCACGCUUGAAUACAUUAGCAUGGAAUAAUGAAAUAGGACGUUUGAUUCUAUUUUGUUGGUUUCUAGGAUCGACGUAAUGAUUAAUAGGGAUAGUUGGGGGCAUUAGUAUUCAAUUGUCAGAGGUGAAAUUCUUGGAUUUAUUGAAGACUAACUACUGCGAAUGCAUUUGCCAGGAUGUUUUCAUUAAUCAAGAACGAAAGUUAGGGGAUCGAAGACGAUCAGAUACCGUCGUAGUCUUAACCAUAAACUAUGCCGACUAGGGAUCGGAUGAUGUUAAAUUUUUAAUGACUCAUUCGGCGCCUUACGGGAAAC